rnacentral:tRNA from 2 species
GGGUUGUUAGCUCAGUUGGUAGAGCAAGGCACUCUUAAUGCCUGGGUCGGGGGUUCGAGUCCCUCACAACCCACCA